rnacentral:rRNA from 1 species
UUGGAGAGUUUGAUCCUGGCUCAGGACGAACGCUGGCGGCGUGCUUAACACAUGCAAGUCGAACGCUGAACCACUUUCGGGUGGGGAUGAGUGGCGAACGGGUGAGUAACACGUGGGUAAUCUGCCCUGCACUCUGGGAUAAGCCUUGGAAACGAGGUCUAAUACCGGAUAUCACAAUCUCUCGCAUGGGGGGUUGUUGAAAGUUCUGGCGGUGCAGGAUGAACCCGCGGCCUAUCAGCUUGUUGGUGGGGUAAUGGCCUACCAAGGCGACGACGGGUAGCCGGCCUGAGAGGGUGACCGGCCACACUGGGACUGAGACACGGCCCAGACUCCUACGGGAGGCAGCAGUGGGGAAUAUUGCACAAUGGGCGCAAGCCUGAU